UACAUAACACUCCCUAUAAGGAGCUGAACCUCCCAAUCCCCGUAUUUUUUUUGCCAUAAUUUAACUAGAAGACCAUUCUAUCCACAGAUCUAUACAAUAGGAAACCAUUCUCGGAGUAAAGAAAAACUGUGGAACCCAGAAUUCGUGAUGGUGAUGUAGUGAUUAUCGUGGAAGCCACUAAAGCUGCUGGAGGGGGAGUUUCCCGGUGUGGGAUCCAGUUUGCAUCCCAGACAGACGUCACACAGUAAGCAGGAUCCCUUGCAGCAGGGCUACAGGAUAAGCUGCACCAUCUCAGGAGCUUCUGUCCUUGCUGGCCGGCUGGCACACUGGCACAGGAUGGUCAUAAGGGUGUUUUUAGCCUCUUCCUCCAGCUCUGUGACUGAGCAGAAGCAUCUCAAGACACUGCUAAAGCAAGAAGAGAAAUUUAAGAGAGAAAAAGAGAGAGCAAAGCAAAAAAAGGAACAAGAUCGAAAUGAUAAAAAACUAAAGAUUUUAGAAGACAAAGCACAAAAGCUACAUGAAGAAUGGGAAUAAGAUAAGAUAAUCUGAGAGACAGAAAACUAGACUUGAAAAAGAGACUACAGAAGAAGAAAGACUUAAAAAAGAACUCUUACUUGCAAAGAUUUUUGAAAUUGAAGGCACAACAUACUUUGAUAUAUCUAAGGGUCCUUCUCAAACAUCACCUUUGGAUUCAUAAAAAUACAUACACCAGAGACAAAAUGUAAAACCUACAAUUUCUCUGACCAGGAAAUGCUUAAUGGGACUUUAGUCCAUGAAGCCUCAUCAGCAUUAGAGAUGCCAAGCCGCAUAAAAGAUAAUAGAGUUGAUCCAAAGGUUGAUAUUUUAUUUGGCAGCUAGGCACCAUCCUUUGAAAAAGGUAGAUUGCGUGGUUCUCAAUAAUGAGACUUUAGAUGAAACAAUCAUAAGUACUGCCAAACUAAAUAUACAAAAAGAUAGAAGGUCUAAUUUAAUGGAACAGCUUUUUGGCAGUGGUUCGAGCACAACACUUCCCACUAUUUCUAAACAUAGCGACUGUAAAGUGAGCCAUGAUUCAAGCAGUAUCCUAUCAUGGGAGAAAAGCAGCGAGAUCAAAGCGAAAAAAGAUCUUUUCUCUGGAGAAGACAAAAAUGUAAACUCUAAAAGACACCAUUCUCAGCACCCAGCAGGAAGGCCUGUAGUAUAAGCUGUUGGCUCUUUUGAGGAUGAAAUUGAAGAAGUUGUGUUGCAUUAGUAGACAGAUACUAUUUUGUUGCAAUGUUGUACAUUAAAAUUUCUUGGAAGAUGA